UACAGAGGUCUCAAGCGUUGUUCGGAUUCAUUGGGCGUAAAGGGUGUGUAGGUGGCGCCGUAAGUCGGGUGUGAAAUUUCGGAGCUUAACUCCGAAACUGCAUUCGAUACUGCCGUGCUUGAGGACUGGAGAGGAGACUGGAAUUUACGGUGUAGCGGUGAAAUGCGUAGAUAUCGUAAGGAAGACCAGUGGCGAAGGCGGGUCUCUGGACAGUUCCUGACGCUGAGACGCGAAAGCGUGGGGAGCAAACAGG
rnacentral:rRNA from 1 species